GAAACCCUCCUUCUCUCUCCGGCAUCUCACUGCUGCGUCGGUGCAGGUAGGGGAUUGAGAUCGAGCUAGCUCGAAUAAAGGCUCUUUGCUUUUGCAUCAGACUCCGCUCCCUGGUGGCCUUUGGGGAUCACAAAUUCUGGGCAAAACAGUGAUGGGUGCAGAGAAAGAGGGAGAUGGAGAGAGAACCUCAGGCAAGCUCCACACCGCCAGUGCAGAGCCUGAUGCAGGGCUCGAACUCACAAAUCACGAGAUCAUGACCUGAGCCAAAGUUGGACGCUUAACUGAGUGAGCCACCCAAGAGAAUUGCGCAAGGACGUCUCAGAAGGCUCCAACCGGACAACCGUAAUCAUCCUGAUGUACCUGGAUUCCUACCGCUUUUGCCUCCAACAGCACAUUUGGAAUAUUUUAUAAAUCUGCCCCAGAGACAAAGAGGAAGCAUUUUGUUGUGAAAAUCUGGCUUUUUGUGAUUGUACCAGGAACAUGGCACACACAUUUAAUUCAAGAAACUAGUAUCGUCUGGUAAAACAUCUCUUAUUUAGUAGAGAUUCAGGGUUUUUAAAAAAAACAUUUCUCUAUGGGCUUAACUAAUGAUUCAUUUGUUUAUUUUUAGUGCAUUUGUUUUUCCUCUAAUUAUUAAUGAUAUACUCAGGUGUUGGCUCCUCACAUCUCCUUUCUUUGUCAACAACAAAGGCAAGCCCAGCUUGCCUCAAGAUGAGUUAAAA